UUUAACUGCAACCAUACGUUUUCGUAUUCAAUUUUAAUCGUUCGUCUUAUUUGAAAAUUUUUUAUAAUUAAUAUUUUUGUUGUCAUGAGAUGAUAAAACAUGAAUGAUACUUUAUGCAUGAUUUAUUUUUUUUAUUUAUUUUAAAAUAAUUUUUAAAUAAGACGGACGAUUAAAGUUGAAUACGGAGAAGAUCGCAGAAUUUUGU
rfam:Oryza sativa Japonica Group DNA, chromosome 3, cultivar: Nipponbare, complete sequence.